UGCCCGCUAUUAACUGAUAAUUAGCGGAUUUAAUUAGCGCUCUGCACGCUUGGCAGGCUCGGGUCCGUCCUGGCUGGAAGAUUCUGCACCAGAUGUUCAUAGUUCAAGUGGGGAGCAGGGGAAGUUAAUUGAACAAUACAUUAAAAACACGCUAGAUGGGAUGCCAGGUUAGCCAGCAGCGCGCUCUCCCUGCUGACAAACUGCCGCAGCGGGAUCGGUGUGUCUGACCCUAAAUGAGUCCCCGCAGCUUUUCUUGCUUAGUCUGGACUGGAGCUUUGUCUGGGUUUGGAGCUUUGCCUUUUGGAGCAGGAGGAAUUCUCUGUCCUCCUAGCCUAAGCCACUGCUGGAAGGACUCCCUGUGUAAUUCUCUGCUAACUGCAAAUGGGAAAAGGAAAUGUUCCCCUCAGUUCUUUAAACCAAGAGCUGGUAAUUUCAUUCUCUCCUGGAGUGUUACUCCAGUGGUGAUGAGAUUUAGCCUAAUCUGCAUUAAUGCUGCCUUUUAGCACUGGUUGAGGAAGGAGCCCAAAACCCCACCUGGAGCUCCACUGGGCUGUUCUGGAACAGGCACAGAGCUGGAGAUCCAUCCUUUAUAGGGAAUAAUAAAUGU